GAUGAACGCUGGCGGCGUGCCUAAUACAUGCAAGUCGAGCGAACGGACGAGAAGCUUGCUUCUCUGAUGUUAGCGGCGGACGGGUGGGUAACACGUGGAUAACCUACCUAUAAGACUGGGAUAACUUCGGGAAACCGUAGCUAAUACCGGAUAAUAUUUUGAACCGCAUGGUUCAAAAGUGAAAGACGGUCUUGCUGUCACUUAUAGAUGGAUCCGCGCUGCAUUAGCUAGUUGGUAAGGUAACGGCUUACCAAGGCAACGAUGCAUAGCCGACCUGAGAGGGAGAUCGGCCACACGGGAACUGAGACACGGUCCAGACUCCUACGGGAGGAAGCAGUAGGGAAUCUUCCGCAAUGGGGGAAAGCGGGACGGAGCAACGCCGCGGGAGGGAUGAAGGUCUUCGGAUCGGAAAACUAUGUAAGUAGGGAAGAACAUAUGUGUAAGUAACUGUGAACAUCUUGACGGUACCUAAUCAGAAAGCCACGGCUAACUACGUG
rnacentral:rRNA from 1 species